GUAUAUAUUUUCAUAGGCACAACAUUCUAUUAACAUACAUUGGGGGUAAAUGAAGCAACAUAGACCUGAAAGGUCUACAAAAAGUGCACAGGUGGAGAUAUAAAGAUGACAAGGUGUGCACAUGCUCCCUAGAGAACCAGCAACAACCCAUCAGGUUUAUUUCAAUAAUGAUCCUUCCGCAGGUUCACCUACGGAAA
rnacentral:misc_RNA from 1 species